AGGAGUUUGAUCCUGGCUCAGAACGAACGCUGGCGGCGUGCUUAACACAUGCAAGUCGAGUGCACAGUUUCUGUAGCAAUACAGGGAUGGGUGCACGGCGCACGGGUGCGUAACACGUGGGUAAUCUGCCCUUCGAUGGGGAAUAACCCCGGGAAACCGGGGCUAAUUCCGCAUAACAUUCCGAGGAUUUCGGUUCUUGGAUUCAAAGGCGUAAGUCGUCGAAGGAGGAGCCCGCGCACGAUUAGCUAGUUGGUGAGGUAAUGGCUCACCAAGGCUUUGAUCGUUAGCUGGUCUGAGAGGAUGGCCAGCCACACUGGAACUGAGACACGGUCCAGACUCCUACGGGAGGCAGCAGUGGGGAAUCUUGCACAAUGGGCGAAAGCCUGAUGCAGCGACGCCGCGUGGGGGAUGAAGCAUUUCGGUGUGUAAACCCCUUUCGACCGGGAAGAAUGCCUCGCAAGAGGAGUGACGGUACCGGUAUAAGAAGCCCCGGCUAACUACGUGCCAGCAGCCGCGGUAAUACGUAGGGGGCCAGCGUUGUUCGGAAUUACUGGGCGUAAAGGGUUC
rnacentral:rRNA from 1 species